CAUCGCUCAGUUGCACAUACACAGUGCAACAUGAUGUUAAAAUGAGAAUGCCUUUACACCGAUGUGGCUGAAUUAGCGUUUGUUUUGUUCAGACAGCUCUGGAUCCUUAAAAUUCCGAGUUUUUACGUCGGCUGCCCUUCUGACACAGACCCAUUCAUCCAUCGAUCAGAUGACUGUAAAUCAUAUAAUUGGUUCCCUGAAGUGCCUUCCUUCUCAUCAAGUGUGAAAUUUAAAAACCAGCUUGGCUGGUCGGACUUCCUGAGCUACUUUGAAGCUCCAACAUUGUCUGAAACUGUUAAUGCAGAAACACCGACAUCCCCCACGCGUGAAACUAAAUCGUCAAAGUCAAAAGGGGAGGAGUGAGUUACGCACGGAGGAGCAGGGAGGGAGCGAGACGAAAGAGACACUGCAAAUCGGAUGCUUUUUUUUUUGGUGUUUUUAAUGUGCAUUUCCCAAAGAAAACAAAAUGGCGCCGGCGUGUGCUCCUUAGCCCCAUGGACAACAUGUAGUCCACGGGUCUCAUCUAUAAAAUAGCUCCCUAGUGAUGCAAUGCUGUGACUUAGUGAGAAGCAUUUGAAUAGAAGAAGAAUGUUCACAUUUCUUGACAUGUAUUUCGUACAUAUUUCUUCUGUACCAAAUAUUCGAUAUUUUAU